rnacentral:lncRNA from 1 species
UUCUCAAUGAAUGUCCGAGAAAUGACAUAACCCAUGUGCACCCCAUCCUAAGAGCACGAUCUCUAGGACGAGUGCACGGGGGCCAGUGACUAUGCCAAUAUUGAUAUACCCCGAGGAGUGUAUCCCGAGGACUCAAUCUAUACCCCACCUCAUUUCUCUUCUUCGGUCCUCGGGGUCACCUAAGUCCUCGAGAUAUUGUAGUCCUCGAGAUACCUCGAGGACACAUUUACAUUCCCUCAAUGUCCUCGAGAAUAGUCCUCGAGACAUACACCACCAACAUACCUCCUAAGACCUGGG